UUUNANNCUNGCNCNGGANGGGUGAGUAACACGUGGNUAACCUGCCUGUANCACUGGGAUAACUCCGGGAAACCGGGGCUAAUACCGGAUGCUUGAUUGAACCGCAUGGUUCAAUCAUAAAAGGCGGCUUCGGCUGCCGUUUACAGAUGGACCCGCGGCGCAUUAGCUAGUUGGUGAGGUAANGGCUCACCAAGGCGACGAUGCGUAGCCNACCUGAGAGGGUGAUCGGCCACACUGGGACUGANACACGGCCCANACUCCUACGGGAGGCAGCAGUAGGGAAUCUUCCGCAAUGGACGAAAGUCUGACGGAGCAACGCCNCCGUGAGUGAUGAAGGUUUUCGGAUCGUAAAGCUCUUUUGUUAGGGAAGAACAAGUACCGUUCGAANAAGGGGGGUACCUUUGGACGGUACCUAAAC
rnacentral:rRNA from 1 species